CGCCUUACUAAGCACCUGACUUCUGCACAAAGGUCUCUAGUUUGGAGGACCCUGAGGACGCCAUCCCCUCGCUGCUUUAAAGUUAAACUGCAGGUUCCACCACGGGUCGACUUAAUGGGAAAGUCAUUGUCCUGACAGCUGCUACUCAGGGCGUCAGGCAAGCAGCUGCCUUAGCUUUUGCAAGAGAAGGUGCCAAAGUCAUAGCCACAGAUAUCAAUGAGUCCAAACUUCAGGAACUGGAAAAGCACCUGGGUAUUCAGAUUCAGGUCCUUGAUGUCACAAAGAAGAAACAAACUGACAAGUUUGCCAAUGAAGUUGAGAGACUUGAUGUUCUCUUUAAUGUUGCUGGUUUUGUCCAUCAUGGAACUGUCCUGGACCGUGAAGAGAAAAACUGGGACUUCUCGAUGAAUCUCAACGUCUACAGCAUGUACCUGAAGAUCAAGGCAUUCCUUCCUAAGGUGCUUGCUCAGAGAUCUGGCAACAUUAUCAACAUGUCCUCUGUGGCCUCCAGUGUCACAGGAGUUGUGAACAGAUGUGUGUACAGCACAACCAAGGCGGCUGUGAUCGGCCUCACGAAGUCUGUGGCUGCAGAUUUCAUCCAGCAGGGGAUCAGGUGCAACUGUGUGUGCCCAGGAAUGGCUGAUACCCCAUCUCUGCAAGAAAGAAUACAAGCCAGAGGAAAUCCUGAAGAGGCGCUGAAGGAUUUCAUGAAGAGACAAAAGACGGGAAGAUUUGCAACUGCAGAAGUAAUCGCCAUGCUCUGUGUGUAUGUGGCUUCUGACGAAUCUGCCUACGUAACUGGAAACCCUGUAUCACUGGUGGAGGUUGGAGCUUACGAUUUCAGCAACCCCUUGGUGGGGAGGAAGGCAGGACUUCCUCUCCACAGGGAACCUGGUCAUGAGUAAAACUCACCAAUCGUCUCUUUCUUAUUAAUGAAAAUAAGCCCCUUUUAAUGAUGUCAUUGUUCACAAGAGUCUGAUUCUUUAAAUAUAUUUACCUCUUUGCAAUCUCUUCUGAAAUCAUUGUAAGUAAAUGAAAUAAAAACACUGAUCUCA